GGAAUGUGGCUCAGUGGUAGAGUACUUGCCUAGCAUGCCUGAUGCCCUGGGUUCUACCCCCAGUACCA
rnacentral:tRNA from 1 species